GCUCAGGUGGUGAAAUUGGUAGACACGCUGUCUUCAGGCGGCAGUACCGCAAGGUAUAGGGGUUCGAAUCCCCUCCUGAGCACCA
rnacentral:tRNA from 1 species